rnacentral:rRNA from 1 species
GAGUAAUGUCUGGGAAACUGCCUGAUGGAGGGGGAUAACUGCUGGAAACGGUAGCUAAUACCGCAUAACGUCGCAAGACCAAAGAGGGGGACCUUCGGGCCUCUUGCCAUCGGAUGUGCCCAGAUGGGAUUAGCUAGUAGGUGGGGUAACGGCUCACCUAGGCGACGAUCCCUAGCUGGUCUGAGAGGAUGGCCAGCCACACUGGAACUGAGACACGGUCCAG